rnacentral:rRNA from 1 species
AAGCGGAGGAAAAGAAACUAACAAGGAUUCCCCUAGUAACGGCGAGUGAAGCGGGAACAGCUCAAAUUUUAANUCUGGCUGCUUCGCAGUCCGAGUUGUAAUUUGAAGGCGUCUGUCGCAUGUGAGACGAUGGCACAAGUCCUCUGGAACGUGGCAUCGUAGAGGGUGAGAAUCCCGUCUCUGGUCGUUGUCUUGCAGGCACACGGCAGGCGAUCCGAAGAGUCGAGUUGUUUGGGAUUGCAGCUCCAAAUGGGUGGUAAACUCCAUCUAAGGCUAAAUAUUGGCGAGAGACCGAUAGCGAACAAGUACCGUGAGGGAAAGAUGAAAAGAACUUUGAAAAGAGAGUAAAACAGUACGUGAAAUUGUUGAAAGGGAAACGCUUGAAGUCAGUCGUGCCGGCGGGGAUUCAGCGAACUUCGCGGAGUGAGCGUAUUUCCUCGCAUGGCAGGUCAGCGUCAGUUUUGCGCGUCGUGAAAGGGCUCGGGUAAGGUGACUCUCUUCGGGGAGUGUUAUAGGCCUGAGCAGAUGCGAUGCGCGGGACUGAGGAUUGCAGCGGACACCCUUCGGGGCGCGGCGACCGAUCCCUGCUCUGUCACCUUCGUCCGAUAGCGUGCUAACGGUCGGGGGAGCGGCGGUUGCACCGGGUUGGCAAGCCGGCGGCUNCGCUAAGGAUGCUGGCGUAAUGGCUUUAAACGACCCGUCUUG